UACGGGGGGGGCAAGCGUUGUUCGGAAUUACUGGGCGUAAAGGGCUCGUAGGCGGCCAACUAAGUCGGAUGUGAAAUCCCCAAGCUUAACUUGGGAACUGCAUCCGAUACUGGAUGGCUUGAAUCCGGGAGAGGGAUGCAGAAUUCCAGGUGUAGCGGUGAAAUGCGUAGAUAUCUGGAGGAACACCGGUGGCGAAGGCGACAUCCUGGACCGGUAUUGACGCUGAGGCGCGAAAGCCAGGGGAGCAAACGGG
rnacentral:rRNA from 1 species